rnacentral:rRNA from 1 species
GAUGAACGCUGGCGGCGUGCUUAACACAUGCAAGUCGAACGGGAUCCAUCAGGCUUUGCUUGGUGGUGAGAGUGGCGAACGGGUGAGUAAUGCGUGACCGACCUGCCCCAUACACCGGAAUAGCUCCUGGAAACGGGUGGUAAUGCCGGAUGCUCCAGUUGAUCGCAUGGUCUUCUGGGAAAGCUUUCGCGGUAUGGGAUGGGGUCGCGUCCUAUCAGCUUGACGGCGGGGUAACGGCCCACCGUGGCUUCGACGGGUAGCCGGCCUGAGAGGGCGACCGGCCACAUUGGGACUGAGAUACGGCCCAGACUCCUACGGGAGGCAGCAGUGGGGAAUAUUGCACAAUGGGCGCAAGCCUGAUGCAGCGACGCCGCGUGCGGGAUGACGGCCUUCGGGUUGUAAACCGCUUUUGAUCGGGAGCAAGCCUUCGGGUGAGUGUAC